GGCGGGUGGGGAGGGAGGUCGGGCGGCUGGCUGGGUCUGCGCGGCAUCGGGAUCGGAGCCCGGGUUCCCGCCCGCCCCAGCGCCCGCCGCCGGCCGAGCCCCGCCCUCCGCGUCUCCAUCGUGGGUCGCGAUGGUCGGGUGUGCGCCCGGGUCCGCGGGACAGGCGGGCGCAGAGCUCCUUUGUGUUGGCGCGGGUGGUUGCGGCAAGGUUCCGGCGCCUUCGCGGAGCAUCGUGGGUCUGGGGCUGUGGGCGCCGCGGAUUGCUAUCCUCUCCGCACUUUCCCGGCGCUGAAGCCUCGAGAACACGGCUAGGCAGCAGUAGUUUAAUGGGGAGUUUGCCUGCUGGGAACUACGGGCCUGCUGGGGUCUCAGUUCUAUGGCUGGCCGCGGAACACGAGGUUGCCAGGUGUGUGACGGCAGCAGGUAGGAGUGACCCGCUGGUGCAGUGAUGAGCAAGAAAGUACAGGAAGGACAGCGGCUGUUGGCCUGUGAAGCUAGGCAAGAAUGACCAGCCGACACAGUCCAGACCAAGGUCCGUGGGCCCAGCUUGGUCCUGUGCGUCUGGUCAGUGGAAUAGACCUGCAGGUGUGGCUCUUGUCACUCUAGGACUGGCUUCAGGACAGUGUGAAUCAGUUCUGAGGCAGCAGGCGUGAUCCAGAAGUGUGAGCAGAGACCGUCUGGAAUCCCCAGACUCCAGGGAAACUAAAGGUGACAGCCAGCCUAAUGAAGAGGACAGGAGUUGGGGGCCGGUGGCGGUGGGGCAGGAAGGCGCCCAACAGCAGCGUGGCCCAUCUGCGGUGGCAGCAGCCCAGCAGGCGCCCCUCGUCUCAGGGCCCUAAUCCUGGCUCCAGCCGGCUGGUCAGGGGAGCUGCAAGGUCUUCUGGGUGAGCAGAGCCCACAGUCCUGAGCUGUUCUUCUCUGUGUUUGGUCAUCUCCCCCCAUCCAAGGGGAGAAAUCUAGAUGAGGUUUAAGAAUCAGUGCUUUAAGACUGUGGAUCUCGGGGUUGAAACCUCGGAAGACAUGUUUUCAGCACAGGGUGUUAAAGUGAACGGAAGGAUUCAACCCCUUUUCAAGGAGGGUGUCUCCAUGUGGGCAGAACUAGAGAAUAAAUGGGUCUUGAAUAAAC